CUUGUUAACUGUUGUCUGUCAUUAACAACCAAGUAAAAAAUUGUAUAUAAUGACAACAGAUUUAUCUUUAGAACUCUUUUCAAAAAUUUUGGUAUGAAUACAAAAGACCAAGUGAAAAUGAUACUGGAAAGGGAAAUUCAAUUAAAAAGUCAUGUCAUAGAAGACAGAAAAAUAUCAGUAUCUGUCUUCAAUAACUUGGCUUUCAUAGCAAAUCUGAGAGACUGUUUACCGUUUGACUCCUGUCCCAAUCCUACCAAGUUGGUUCAAAAAGAAAGGACUGCGUUGAAAACAUGAGGGGGUUAAAAGAAUCAGCCCUUUUUGAAUUAAUAGUCGAUGUCGUAACCAGCUAGAAGUCGUAACCAGCUCGUAUGAAAGGAUUUCUCGACGUGAAAUAGUUAAUUUUAUUCAACAACUCCAAGAAACAGAGCUCACUCAAGAAACAGAAAAGAAAGCGAAAGAUGAAAAAAUAUUCUGUUUA